ACAAAACCCUAACCCUAAUUUUUAUCCUAAAUCUAGUCGCCUUACCCCCUUCCCUUUCUUUCGCAACACACACAAGACACACAUGCAGGAUGCAGCCACAAUAAGGAAAGAAAUAAACAGAAAGAGAGAGAGAUCUGAGUGAGCAGAGGGAAAGAAGGAGAAAGGAAGGAGAGGGGGGAGAAGGAAGGGGACCGCACUAGCGCUGCUGGGCCUCAUCACCGCUGUCGCGCUGUUAGCCCUUGUCGCCGCCAUCACGCCACCACUAAGCAGAUUCAUUCCGUCGCUUCUGCCACUGUCUUCUCCACGCGCCGUCGUCGAAGUCACUGGAGGUGAGAGAGAGAGAGAAUCGCAAAGAGAGAGAAGGAUGUGCUACCGCCGCUAGAAAGGAGGGUCUUCGUCGACGCUGAUGACGUUGCUAUUGUUGGAGGACGUCGCCGAGGAGCGGAUCUACCGCUGAAGACCCGCCGCCGUUCAGCCUCGUCCUGCCCGCGUUUGGUCCACCGUAGGGGGAUGAAGGCCGACCGAGACAGUAUGUUGUUGAGGAAGGGAAGACGUUGUCGUCGUGUUUCCUGGUCGCCGGUGAUGGAGUUGCGUCACCGUCAACCCUAUGGGCUGUUCUGACCGCUGCUGACGGAAUCCACUAGAGUUGUUCGGGGGGUUGAUGCCGCUCAGUUAUCUCGGUUCCUUUUUAGUGCAGGUUGAGUAUUGGUGCUUGCAUGUCGUGUUUGAAGUCGCUGUUGUUGCUUCAGAAAUGGUCAAAUGUUGUGGCUAUUGCAGGACAUAAGGAAAAAUGGGUUUUAACACGUUUAGGUUUUGUGCGUUUUGACGAGCUGAGGUAAGGGAUUUAUUUUAAAAAUUAACUGUUUUAAUUUAUGAAUGCCUUUGAAGUUUAGUGAGUAACUGCAAAUAAUUUAUAAAUGUCUUGUUUAAUUAAUUGAUGAAAAUUGGC